rnacentral:rRNA from 1 species
UACGUAGGGUGCGAGCGUUAAUCGGAAUUACUGGGCGUAAAGCGUGCGCAGGCGGUUAUUUAAAUCAGGUGUGAAAGCCCUGGGCUUAACCUAGGAAUUGCGCUUGAGACUGGAUAGCUUGGAGUGCGGCAGAGGGAGGUGGAAUUCCACGUGUAGCAGUGAAAUGCGUAGAGAUGUGGAGGAACACCGAUGGCGAAGGCAGCCCCCUGGGCUAACACUGACGCUCAUGCACGAAAGCGUGGGGAGCAAACAGG